rnacentral:rRNA from 1 species
ACACUCCUGCGGGAGGCAGCAGUGGGGAAUUUUGGACAAUGGGCGAAAGCCUGAUCCAGCCAUGCCGCGUGCAGGAUGAAGGCCUUCGGGUUGUAAACUGCUUUUGUACGGAACGAAACGGCCUUUUCUAAUAAAGAGGGCUAAUGACGGUACCGUAAGAAUAAGCACCGGCUAACUACGUGCCAGCAGCCGCGGUAAUACGUAGGGUGCAAGCGUUAAUCGGAAUUACUGGGCGUAAAGCGUGCGCAGGCGGUUAUGUAAGACAGUUGUGAAAUCCCCGUGCUCAACCUGGGAACUGCAUCUGUGACUGCAUAGCUAGAGUACGGUAGAGGGGGAUGGAAUUCCGCGUGUAGCAGUGAAAUGCGUAGAUAUGCGGAGGAACACCGAUGGCGAAGGCAAUCCCCUGGACCUGUACUGACGCUCAUGCACGAAAGCGUGGGGAGCAAACAGGAUUAGAAACCCCUGUAGUCCCAUGAU